AGUGAACGCUGGCGGUAGGCCUAACACAUGCAAGUCGAACGGCAACACAGGAGAGCUUGCUCUCUGGGUGGCGAGUGGCGGACGGGUGAGGAAUACAUCGGAAUCUACUCUGUCGUGGGGGAGAACGUAGGGAAACUUACGCUAAUACCGCAUACGACCUACGGGUGAAAGCAGGGGACCUUUGGGCCUUGCGCGAUUGCAUGAGCCGAUGUCGGAUUAGCUAGUUGGCGGGGUAAAGGCCCACCAAGGCGACGAUCCGUAGCUGGUCUGAGGGGAUGAUCAGCCACACUGAAACUGAGACCCGGUCCAGACCCCUACGGGAGGCAGCAGUGGGGAAUAUUGGACGAUGGGCGCAAGCCUGAUCCAGCCAUACCGCUUGGGUGAAGAAGGCCUUCGGGUUGUAAAGCCCUUUUGUUGGGAAAGAAAUCCAGCUGGCUAAUACCCGGUUGGGAUGACGGUACCCAAAGAAUAAGCACCGGCUAACUUCGUGCCAGCCGCCGCCGUAA
rnacentral:rRNA from 1 species